GGGGCCAAGUGUUAUAGAGAUAACCUGCCGAUCAGAGCAACCUAGCGAUCUACAGAUUCUGACGAGCAAUCUUCUACUCCACCUUCUUAUGAAGAGGUAUGAAGGGGACCCUCAGAUAAGAACAACUUUCAGAGAGAAAAUCUAUCUCUUUCUCAUCAUUCUCCUUCUUUUCUCUAUUGUUCUCAAGCUCCGCUUAAGCAUCGGAGGUCUCCCACUGAAAAACCCCCCAACAAGUAUAGACUUUCUUUGCAGAUUCCCUCCAGC
rnacentral:lncRNA from 1 species